rnacentral:lncRNA from 1 species
UAAGUGUCACGUUUCAAUAAGUUUUUAAGGGGAGAAUGCUGUUGUGAUAGUGGCUAAGACUUAAAAUGGACCAGUUUUUACUUUUUUCGUGACCUAUUACAUCCUUUGCCUGCUUUUCUGUUAGGCUUGUUUUAUUGAUUUGUAGUAGUUCUGUAUAUUUUGGAUUCUAAUUCAAUAAAACAACGACAAAAGGCAUGGAAAGACAAUUAGAAAAAGCAGUACAAAUAACUCUUAAACAUGCAAACAAAAUUGCCCACCCUUACUCAAGAUAAAAAUAACUAUGGUUUAGCAAGUGUUUACUGUGUGCCAGGCACAAUUCUAGGGCUGCACCCACGGCAUAUAGAGGUUCCCAGGCUAGGGGUCAAAUGGGAGCUGUAGCUGCUGGCCUACACCACAGCCACAGACAGCAAUGCCGGAUCCGAGCCACGUCUGCAACCUCCACCACAGCUCAUGGGAAUGCCAGAUCCUUGACCCACUGAGUGAGGCCAGGGAUCAAACCCGCAACCUCGUGGUUACUAGUCGGAUUCAUUUCUGCUGUGCUGCAAUGGGAACUCCGUAUAUGUAUUAACAAAGGGAAAAACAAUCGAAAUAUGUAUUAAUUUUGUGUGUGUAUUUCUAAUAGUUUGUGUAUAUGUGUAUAUACACCUAUAUAUGUAAAAUAUCUCCAGGCAUACAUAAGAAACAGAGGAAAUUAUAUGCCUUUGGAGAAGAACAAGGUGUUUGCGUUCAAGAAUAGUAAAACAACUUUAGGAGUUCCCUUGUGGUAUAGCAGGUUAAGGAUCUAGCAUUGUCUCUGCUGUGGUGUGGGUUCGAUCUCUAGCCUGGGAACUUUUGCAUGCUGUGUGUGUGGACAGAAAAACACUUUAAAAUGUACUUUUUGUAUUUUGGACUGUACGACCUUACAUUAAAAAUGUUAAAAUGAAAAUAUGCUUAAAAAGAAAUCUAGAUGGUAUUAAUUAAGAUUAAUAAGGGGUCAUUUGAACUGGUUCUGCAGUUGGUUUUUCAGAAUAGUGAAGGUCUCAAGAAUGUUCAAGGUGUUUGUUUUGUUAAGUUUUCCCAAAAGGUAGCAGCUAAAGAAUGCAUUCUUGGUUGGUGCCGCCCAGUUGCAAUGGUAGAUGGAAACAUUCCAAUAGCAGUGCCAAUGCCAUGUAUUUAGCACUCUGAGGAAGAACAGACUGUGCCAUCCUCUCUUUGUUUCUCUUCCCUUUAUCUUUCAAGAACACUGUAGAGAUAGUGUUUCUCUCACAGUUUUAAAGAAACGUUUGCAAUCCACAUAAACAAUUGCUACACUAAACUACAGCUUCUCAUUUGUAGUGCUUGUAUUAUAUCUCCUUAGUAUCAUCAGAAACUCCAGACAUACUUAGGUAAACAGAAGAUUUGGGCUGCAAAUGGGAAAUGAUAAGAGUAUAUACUUUGCAGGGAUAUGAAAAAUCUCUCAUCAAAUCACAUUCUUAGGAUAUAACCAAGUUAUCUACAUAAAUAUAAUUAAAUCUAUUGUUUGCUAGUGUUGUACCUUGCUGUUCUUUGUUCUUCGUGAGAUUAAAUUGGACUGUGCUAAUGUCAAGUGACAAGAAUACAUAUACAUAACACUAGUUCUUUGUACCAAAGCACGAAAUAUUUGGAGAGAACAGAGGCCAGGAGUGGUGGCUGGCACUGUAUCAUCUAGACUGGAAAUGGAUGGUACUAAUCUAAGAAGGUUUUAUAAGAUGAAGAGAAUAAAGUAGAAUUUUGAAGGUGGAAAGGAAAUGGAUCAUUUUUGGGAGACUGUUAAUAGACUUUUCAGGGAAGUCACAUGUAAAGGAUGACAAAUUUUUGCCAAAGUAGAAGAAAAGUGAAAGUAAUAAGGUAAGAUGGAGGUUGUGGGGGGAGCUUUACACUCAUGAGAGAGGAAUCAUUCAGAAUAUGGGUUUUAGAGUCAUACAUGGAUUUGAGUCCCAGUUUUACUACUUCUCAGGUAGGUUGUCUUGGAGAAGUGACUUAAUGACUUUUCUGUGUUGCUUUUUAAAUUUCCAAAAUGGAGAUAAUUAUAGUGCUUAACCUCAGGCAAUAGUUGUGCGGAUAAAAUGAAAUUAGGCAUGAACACAUAUAGCCAAGUGCCUUGUACAUAGUAGGUGCUCAGUAGAUAUACAUUACUGCUCUUAAUGUUUGAGUUGAGUUGAGAACCAAUUGAAUCUUCUAGGUCUUGGAGUAUCAAAAAGCAAUAUGAUAUAUAAAGAGAGGUGUACUCAGAAAAUCUGUCACUUGUACAAGUCUAUAGGUUGAGUAAGUAAUAUCCAUUUAGUGGCAAUUCAAUUAAAAUAAGAUUCAAAAGAGUGAGGAAGGAUAAGGAAAUAACUUUUUAAUACAAAUAUUUUGUCUUUCCUUUCACUACCCCCACCAUGUAACUAACUUCGCGUUUACCUUGAGAGAGAUUGAAUGUGAUAAUGAGAGAAUACAUAGGAGCUCUUGAGAUAUAAGAAAUACUCAAGAAAUGCUAAUUUUACUCAUAUAAUUCUUUAUCUGCCCUUGCCAAAGGAUGACAUGGGAAAUAACUCUUCAGAAACAAGAUUCUAGAAAGUAAAGGAUAAAUGGGAAAGAUUGAGGGUAGAGGCAAACACUGAUUACCAGAUAGUUAGGUUGUAAACUCCAGUUGUGUUGAAUGAGCAGUUAUAACUUCUUAUACAAUCAAAGUGAACAAGAUUUAACGUGAGCAGACUAGAGAGAAAAGUCAAAGAUUUAUGGGGAGUUUAAAAACUUGGACACCGGAGAACAUAUCGGUCUGGCUGACUGAUAGGAGUGUUAGGAAAGAUGUUUUGGAUGUGUUUAGUUUUGGAUGACUGUAUAACAUCUAAGUAUAUGCCUUGUGUGUAUAUAUUUCUUGUGUAACAAAAAAUGAAAGUCUGAGGAUAGGAUAGGAUAAGAGAAAGGGAUAAUGUUCGCCAAUGAUUCUUAAAUAUUCCAAGACUGUAUUUCUAUCUUCCUGUUUAUAGAAUUGAGAUAAUAAACUCCUGACAUCAAAUACAUUUAUACUCCAUUUGAAGUAUUUUUCUGGCUUAAAAUUCUUAGUAUAAAGCAAAAGCUUUAGUAGACGUGUGCAGUGUUCUGUUAUCUGUCAAACUUGUGAUUCCCAUUUCUGGGCUACAGGGAGCACUUUGGAUGGUGGGCCAUUCAGAUGCCUUUUUGUAAAUACGAGUAUUGACAGAGGGAUUGUUUUUUAUGCUUUUUGUGUUCAUAGACCUGUCCUUUGGCUUUUUAUCUUAAAUAGUAAAGAAGAUAGUGAAGAUAAAUAAUUGUGAUGUGUCUAUUAUUAUGCUGGUAUUUAAAAUAUCUUCCAGAAAAAUUUUUCUGUAGAUAGAAAUAAAGCAGGAAUUUUUCCAGGAUGGGGUUUUCUUUCGAAGCACUGGAAAUGUAUUCAUUUUGUUUUAGAUGUUACUUAAAAUGCAGUUAUUCAGUAGUAUUCUUUUGAUCAUAUGCAAAUAAUACUGUCCUCCAUAUGCAGGCUUUUUAGCAAUUAUUUGUUAGAGGCAAUGUGUAACAAUAGAUAGCAUCUUUUUUUCAAGUCUUUCCUGCUUGGCUUUUAUAUUAUUACUUACAUGUGCAUUAGGGACUUAUUAGUGACUCCUAGCACACAUUCUUCCAUCCCUUAGCUAUAGCAAAACCUACAAAUAAUUUUUUCUCCUUUCCUUUCAAAAAUUGGCUGUUUUUCUUUCCUAAGUCCUUGAUUUUCUUGGUGCAUUGACUAUAAUUUUAUAACCAUAGUGUAUUGUAUCUUUCUAUAUCAAGAAAAUUUUUAUUUGAAAAACAUUAGUUUUGGAGUUUUCCUGAUGGCUCAGUGGGUUAAGGAUAGGCAUUGUCACUGCUGUGGCUCAGGUCAUUGCUUUGGUAUGGGUUUGAUCCCUGGCCAGGAACCUCUGCAUGCUGUGAGCAUGGUCAAAAAAAAAAAAAGAGACAAUAUUAGUUUUAGGAGGUUCAUGGCACAGCAGGUUAAGGAUCCAGUGUUGUCUAAUACAGCAGCUUAGGCCACUGCUAUGGCACCAGUUCAAUCCCUGACCCAGGAACUUACACAUGGAAUGGGCAUGG